AAUACAUAUACAGUACAUGACAUUAUUGCAUUACGUAUUUUAAUUAUUAUUUAGCUUCUUUUUUUGACAUCAACAUUCACCAGACACACAGAUUGAACUGGAUUACACCUCAGCCAAAGGUUAUGGUUGUAAAAACUAAAGACUUUCCAUCAUACUACUAUGAUACACCUAAAUUCAUUUUUAAUGACAAUGCUGCACUCUUCUGGUCAGCUGGCUGAAAGAAGGUUGCAACUCUCUUGUCACUUUUGAUGUAGAUUAGUGAGAAAUUAUUGGCAAUUUCUUAAUAUGUUUAGAUGAUAAAAUGAUCAAAUAAAACAGAUAAAAGCACAAAGGUUGAAGACACUUUUGUACACAUACAUACAAAAACACAUAUAAGUAGCAAUCUAGAAUAUAAAAAACUAUAUAAUUGUACUCGCCAUGAGCACUAAUAGUCUAAACAGCAAUAAAAUAAAAUGUAAAAAGAGCAUAUAAAAGUUUGUAAUGGUAAGAUUAGAAGUAAAAAUCUUUAAACAAUAAAAAUGUGAACUCCAUUUAGAACCCAGGCUGAAUAGACACAUCUGCUUUUAGUUUUGAAAACAUCUGGUCCACAGACAGCCUGAUUAAUUAACCAGCUGUUAUACUCAAUAAAGUUCAGAAUGACAAAAAGAUAAUAUUCUGCUAAAAUAAAAUUUUAGUGUUUAUUUUAUUAUGCUGAUUAAGUCUAUCCAUAAUGAUUUACAGUAUUGUUAUUACUGUAAAAGUCAAUAUGGUUUGUUUCUUUAGAAAUAUGAAUAAUAAAUAAUAAGAAGAAAUGUUUACAUUAUUUUAUAUUUCUCCACCUGUGACUGUUUUCCACACAUUUUGCAAAAUCGAAACAUUGCAUAUUUUACUCUUAAGAAAAAGCAGCCGUCAGGAUUAUACACACCAUAAUUACUAAUUUUACGAAAUUCAAAAUAACAAAAAAUUAUUUAAGGUUAAAAAAAAUCAGUUGUAUUCAAAAUAUAUUUGCUUUAAAGGAGGGAGAAUUACAAUUGAAGUCGUUUAUAAUGAACAGCUGGAUUGUGUUUCUGUGCGUGAGACUCAAACAAAAGGCUCAGAAACAGGUAGAAAUAUGUGGUCUUCAUAAAAUACAAAUAAAUUUAAAACCUUUAGUUCAGAAAAUGAAAUUGCACUAAAGAAGACAUGUGAGGUCUUAGUCGGGAACAAGGAGAGGAACCACCAGAAACAAUCCUGUCCAAAAAACAGUUUCAGUCACGAUGAUACACGAUGAAAACAAAAAAAUCGCUACAUGACUGUAGAGAUAAUGCAAUAUGUCUGCAAAAAACAGAUUGGCUGAAAAACUGGAGGCAGAAACCAAAGGAAAAUCAAGACAUAAGAAAUAAAACUGCAACAAUGUGGAGGUGUGAAGAUUUGAUACAAACAUUUGAUUUUAAAACAAAUGAAAACGUGGAAAUCUAAUCGCCUUCUGUUAAUCAAAGUGUUUCUAUUUUCCAACUAAAGAUGCACCGAUCAACACCAGUUCUUCUAGAUACUAUUACUAGAGAAAGAAAAUAGGUUUUAGCUUAUUUUUUCUCUGUUUCAGCUGUAGCUCUUUGUUUGAGGUAAUAGUUUUAAAUCUCACAGAAAAGGAAGGAAUCAAAACACUCUUCUGUUUUAUGGUUCACAAUCUUUGUUUGUAACCUUUAUCAAAUUUUUGUUAAACUCAGCAAAGUGCAUCAAAGUGCCUGCUGUGGGUUGAUGCUUUUGUGCACUGAAAAUGGUGGGAGUUUGAUGCAUUUAAACAACAGGGGGAAGAAAAUCAGAUUUUUCAUUGUGACCUCCUGUGAACCCUGUCUUUGUCCACUGCAGGCACCGAGUUAUUCCUCGGUUUGAGCGUCCCUCUGGUGACGGCGCAGCCAAGCUGGCAUGAUGUGCUGAUGAGGCUGCCAGUGAGGAUCAGCUUCUGAAUUUUGAUGUCCUCCUUUGCCACCAAACCACAGUUGAUGAUUAUUAUUGAGUGCCGAGAUUAUCUAAAAUGGGUUCUGCCAGCAGCAGUCGGAAUCCGACUGCCAGUUCAAAAGAUGCAAAAGAGGUUCAUGCCAAAAAGUAAAAAAACAACAACAAAAAAACUGGUGAUAAUAUGAAAGUUUGUGAAGUGGAAAUUGGUUUUUGUCAUAAAUGAUUUGUUUGUUUCAUAUAGCAACACUGUUACAUAAAGCUCAUGUUCUUUCAAUUCAAUGUUCUGGAAAGUAAAGUUUUCGUAGUGCUUACACUUUUUCAAAAAAUUUCACAUUAUUUCCACAAGCUUUAAAGUAUUUUGAUGGGAUUUUAUGUAAGAAAACAAUACAAGGUAGUGCAUAAAUAUUUCAUAAAAAGAAACAUUAUUUUUCAACAGAUCUUAUAAAUACAAAUUCAGAGUCUGAAUCUGUAUUCAGAAAACUUGAAUAAAUACUUUUAGAAAUAUCACUUGCUGCAACUAGAGCAUUUUUUGGACAAAGGAACAAAUCUUAAAUAUAUUUCCUAUGCUUGUUGCAUGGAUGUAAGGUGGGUGUUUUUGCAGACAGUUCUGGUCUGAAUAGGAACUAAUUCUUUCUACAUACUGUAAAUGAUGCAAUGUAUAAGUUUCACCUCAAUCAUCAAUACUGUAUGUAACCUUAUUCUGAAAAUAGACUAUGUAUAGAAAAACAAGGUCAAAAACAGAUAAAUCAAACCAACAUAAUCAAAUAAACAUUUUUCCAACAUAGUACAUAUUUGAAACAUUUAUAUUUGUGGUUGUAACCUGACAAAAUGUCAAGACGUUCAAGAGUAUGUGACUAGCUUUACUUUCAACCAUAUCCCGUCAUGAUGGCAUAAGAAAAUGUAUUUGUUGUGGCAAAUAAGUUGAAGUUGUGGUUUCUGUAGUGCCUCACAGUUGUGCUGUGGUUAGUAGAGCUUCUUCACAGUAAGCCGGUUUCUGGUUAAAAUUAGAGAGUCUCUGUCUCUGGUUUCCUCCUACGGCGUGAUUGUGUUCGUCUGUCUGUCUGGUGAGAAUGGCGAUCUGUUCUGGCCUGACAACGUGACUUGAAUUGAUGGAAGUCACUAAAGUCUAAGAAACUUUUAGUGAGUUUUUAGUCAAACAACAAAUCACUGUUGUUUGGUGAGUUUAAAGUAAGGCUUAUUUUGUUCUGACUUAAAUCUUAACUCUGUCACACAGCAGAAUCACACACCUUCACACUCUCACUUUCUGCCUGACAACACAUACAGUUAUACUUGUUUCCUAUUUUAUCCAUUACACAGCUCAGGGACCCAAAUAAAACAUGUCAAAGGUGUUGGGGACUCUAAGGAAGGAGGACAUGUGGGAUGUGUCCAAGAUGCCUCCGUAAGUCUGAGGUAUUAACUACCAGUGAUGGCUACCAAUGUAGCCUUCAUCCUGAUUGGCGAUGACAGAUAGGCAGAUAUAGCUCUGCUAGAGUAACUCUACUCCCCCCAGCUUCUGUUCGCUGAAGCCCUGCAAUUAGCCAAACCCACGAAGGCCUGCGACUCAACAUGCAAAAGCCACAGAGGAGAAAAUAACCGAUAUUCCUUUUCUCCUGCAUUUAUAGCGUUGUAUUUUUUUGUGUUAGUUCACAUUCUGCAGCCAAGUAAGCAUAUUUUUUCCUUAACAUGAAGCCAGCAUUAUCCAUCAAUGUGCAAUUAUUAGGGCAGAAUAUGAUUCUGACACUUAUUGAACACAUUCAGUUCACCGUUCACAGCAUUUUGAAAUAAUGAAUUAGUCAAAUCCCAGCAAGUUGAGCUUCUGCUCAUCCAUAUUUAAACAGAUUUUCAGACCAAAAAAAUAAUCAGAUGACGCUCUGCAGUCAGACCAAUUGAAAAGGUCUCCUUUUAAUUCUUACGGCAUAAUAUUAUUCCCUAAUUUUAGUCUCAUCCAGCUUCUCCUCUGAGUUGUUUCAAUCUAACUCAGCCUGUGUGCCACAGUCUGAUUUGGGAACAAAAUUUGCUUCAUCCCAGCAUGAUCUGCUUAGUCAGACAGUUCAUGGCCACGGAGAGGACAGGUGAAGCUGCUGAGUCUGAAUCAGCUCUUUAGGUGGCAUAACAGCACUGAAGCUCACUCACACAUCAUGAAUCUUUAAUGACCUUUAGUGACUGGAAAAAAAGAUUGAAAAGCACAGUACUGUCCUUCCACAUAUAUUGUACAACGUAUGAAGAAACUAACACUGAGCAACCAUUUUUGAUGAUGAAUAAAACCUUGGCAGAUAAAUUAGAAGUUUUUUGAUGUUUUUGUUGAUGCAAAGAAAUUACAAGUGAGUCAAAUUUAAUUACAUUUCUAAAAUAUCUAACCUUAAACUUGGUAAAAAGCUUGAGUAUUCACUUUGCUUAAGAAAAUUGUAUUGUUGAAAACUUUUGCAAAUCGGUUUUAGAGGUUUUCAGUAAGUACUGAGUUAUCCAGCACUGAAAAGCACUUUUUAAUUUGUGAACAAGGCCAUUAAUUGUUGCAUGGAGAGCUGAAUGGGGACAAGGAAAAAUCAAGCUGUACAAUAACACCAGAUUUUAUUUCCACAAAUGAGUCAAAUUCAAGCAGAGCAAUAUGAGGAUGUUUGCACACAUAAAUAAUUUGUUUUUGAAGAUGGCAGAUUCAGUCCUGCUCUUACUAAUGACCUUCAUUUGCAGUUUAAUGAAAUCAUACACUAGAAAUUAGAAGCAACGUAAUCAACUGAUGUCCUCAGUGACGACGUUAAUAAAAUCUAAAUGGGACAAAAUAUGACAUUUUUUUUCCAGCUCUGUCACAUGCCAGACAGAGCCAUGCAAAGGAAUAUUUAAACGACUGAGGAACAAGAAAAGGGAUUUAAGGAGAAAAUGAGAGCGAGAAAAUGUUACUAAAAUCCUUUUUCUUGCUAAGCAGGAUGUGCUUUGAUGUUUUAUCUCCAAAGCGACAAAAGCGCAGAAAGCAGAUAGAGCUGGCUGAGGAGCCAAAUCUACUGCGCUGAAGACGAGCAGCGGCGACAGGAAGAGGGGGUGGAAAGAAGCUGGAGAGCGGGAGAGACGGAGAUGGUGCACAAUGCGGACCCUCACAAAGGGAGAGGCAGUAAGACGAAAACUGAUGAGGGAAAUUAAAACAUUAUCAAACAGGCAGUGAAACAUGGCAGCCGGAGCAGACCGGGAAGAGAGCGGAAGGGAUGAGCGAGAGGAGUCCGGCGUGGCACGGCGGCGGUGACGAUGGCUAAUGCAGCACACUGUGACGUCAACCUUGCAGCAGAGCUGAGCUCAACACUAGCAGGCUAAUCUGUCCUCUGUGGCCUGCAAUGAAUUGCAGUGUUAUAAUUACAACACAUGCGGGUAAAGCACCUGCCUCUCAAAUGCCUCGCUUAAGCAAUUGACCUCUUGCAGCCAAUACUUCUGUUUACUUCAACACAACAUGUGAAUACACAUCAAAGAGCAGGCAUUACCAAUUGUGCAAGUUUUGUUUUUCAGCCGCUCAGCAAUGUCUCUUCUAAUAUUUAUAUUAAUUGUUAUGAAUUUGGUCAUAAGCACAAAGGAGCCAAGUUGAUAAGAAGUGGUGUUAUGUUUGAAACCUCAUAAUCGAAUGAAUGAACAAAAAGGAAAUAUAGUGGUCGCUUGGAGAUCUAUCAAACCAGCACCUUGCUGAUUUACAGAGCUCCAUCUGACUGACGCCUUGUGACAAAAACUAAUUUAAAAUAAUAAAAGUCUGGCAGCAUUCUGGUCAGUGUUGUAAUUUGUGCUAAGGACUGAGAUGCAUGUUUCAUCUAAAGGCAGUUCAGCUUCAGCUCUUUAAUUUCUACAAACAACUGAUUAGCCUCUUCAGCCAAAAGGCUAAUCAGUCCAAGUUUUACUCACCAGGGUUUAUUUCCAGUGUAGCAGCUGUCAGGAUUGCCAAUGACUAGGAAAUAUUCUGUCACCACCCCAAGUCCAACAGGUUUUAUUUUUACUGUAACUUGUCAUUUCAAGCUAAUGGUGCAUGAAUGUGGGAAUGAUGGUGCUGCAUAUGGCAGACAGAUGAGAAGGAGAAAUGUUUUGACUGCAUUGUCUGAUAUUCUCUCUAUCACUUUAGAAAAACACAGAGAAAAAGUGAGUUAUAACUGCAGGUAAUACUUGCAUUUAGAGAAAUCAGAUAUCGAUUGGUUUAAUAAGGCAGUCUGCAUUUAUCAGCAGCUGUUUUGUACUGACAAAGGAAACAGAAACGGUAAAGCAUUUUCUUAUCUCAUUGAGUUUAUACUUUAUAAACAACAGGUUUUGUCACUUCAUAGUCUGGCUGUUGACUUCCUGCCCGACCUGUAGUAGCCAUAGCACAAACUAUUACUUUAGUUUUUUUGUUACACUUACAUCCAACAUACCAACCGAGGAGAAAUAAUCCUCCCUGUACUUCAACAAAGGUCACAAACCUUUCCAGAAGAAUUAAUCUUCGCUGCAAAAAUUCUUCCUAUAUCCUUUUUCUGUGCCAAAAAUAAACAGACAUGCAUCGAUUUUAUAUAUUCCCAUUUGAAAAACUUUUAGGUUUAGAAAACAAUCAGACAUCUGUUUGCGGUUAUAGUCUUUAGUGAUGCAGUGUUAAGAUCAACGUGCUUUCUUGGUGUGACUCAAAAGCCCAUCCUGUGUCAGAAGGAAAGUGGGUUUUAAACUAAAUUAUGCCCCUAAGCAUCUAAGUGAGUUCUGAUUAUUUAUUUAUGUUUCAAACUCAAAAAUAUCUUCAUGUUUUGUAUUCAAUAUUUAACGCCAUGAAGAUGCCCUGAUGAAAAAUAAGGCGCGUAUCUGCUUUUAAACUGCUGCAAACACCCACCACAGUGAGCAAGCCAAGAACUGCACUGAAAGCAGAGCGUCCGUUCAUUAUUAAAGAAUGUCCACAGUGCUUUAAGUUCCCAGUCUCUCAGGUUACUGUGGAAGGAGCUGUAGAGCUGCAGCAGAGCAGAUGCUGCACGCAGCGUUACGAGAGCAGUGUGGACGAACAGGUGCUCUGCUUUAAGACUUCACACACGGCAAUCAAGAGAGCAGAAAAGCCCCCACAAGGUUUUAUACAUGAGUACUAAGUGAACUCAAUGGAUACGAAUGUAAAUAUAAAAGUGCUGGUGUGAAUAAAAAUACUCUCCUGUCAAGAACACCAGACUCUUGUAGAUUAUGUGAGAUCAUGCAGGUCUGCACAAGAGGGACACAUAAUUGAUGGCUCCUUAAAGAGAGAACAGGGCUAAGCUUCAUUUUACACACAACUGAGUUUAGAGGACAAAUUCUUCACAUUUGACCCCAAGAAAAGAGUCCUAUUUCUAGCCAAAGCUGUAUUUUAGGUUUGAUCCCUGUUCAUGCUAAGGUUAAAGGUUACUGUAGCAAAUAAUAAACACAAGAUGUUUCCAUCUCUUAAAGUCGUAGUUGUCAAACCAAGACAGAAGAGCCUUUACCUUACUUCUAGUGGUAUUUUUGGUAAAGAACCAUUGACAUGGAGAACAAAAAACUAACUCUCUGUUAUGAUGAUUCAAAUAUUUUACUUCUAGGUGAAGCCAAGGUGUUGAGGGAAUCUGUUUUUGUGAUCUUUUAAUGGUGUCCGUGCUUCUUUUGUCCUAUUGAUUUCAGCAGACUGGGAACCAAAUACAAAUGUGGUAAUGGUUUCACAAAAUAACGUUUAGAUAAACUGCCAUGUUGUUCUUGAAACUGGAGUCGUUUUAAGACCGAUCAGUCUAUUUUGGUUUUGGUCCCAGUCAGACUAGCUAUAUGCUUCUGCAUUUGGCACCAACAAAUCUGGAUCUAUAGUAAGUAAAGACCCUAAAAGAGUUACUGCAGGUAAGAUACUUACUGCUUAGAACCUCACAUUAGAAAAUCUUAACUAUUCCCUUAUAGGUCUUAAAGGUGCGUUAUUAUGCUUCCUUGAACAGGUUAUAUUGAGGGCUGAACAAAUCAUGUUCAUCACAUGUGAAAUUUCAUAAUGAACUAUUUUAGGACCUCUUAUUACUUUAAAUCAAAAUAACAUGCAACUGGCCACACCCCGGACUCAACAUUUACACUCAUACAUGGAAAUAGUUGCAAUUAGAUGCACAAUUAAACAGCCGUACAUCUUUGAAAAGCAGAAGUACAGCCUCCUGCACAACCAACAUGAAUGCAGCAAGUGGUUUCUGGAUGGUAGGUCACCAACAAAACACUUGUCUUUUCCAACAGCUUUUGUACAGAGGUAAAACCAGCUCAUCAAAUGUCCCGGAGUUCAGCUUGGGUUGCUAGGUGACAGGCUGGGCUCAGCUGGGGUUGCUAAGUAACGGCACAGCGCCUGUCGAUUGCGACUUAAUAAUAGGGACGUUUUGGAAAAGACAAAUUUUUUCCAGAUAUAACUUAAUUCCUAAAAAUGACUGAGUGUUGAUUUUAAGCACUUGGGUUGUUUUUGGAAGCAGUCGAGACCCAAACAAAAGUAUA